rnacentral:rRNA from 1 species
UACGGGGGGGGCAAGCGUUGUUCGGAAUUACUGGGCGUAAAGGGCUCGUAGGCGGCCAACUAAGUCGGAUGUGAAAUCCCCAGGCUUAACCUGGGAACUGCAUCCGAUACUGGAUGGCUUGAAUUCGGGAGAGGGAUGCAGAAUUCCAGGUGUAGCGGUGAAAUGCGUAGAUAUCUGGAGGAAUACCGGUGGCGAAGGCGGCAUCCUGGACCGAGAUUGACGCUGAUGAGCGAAAGCUAGGGGAGCGAACGGG